UGUACUUUUAUUUGGCACUUUUUAUGGCAUUCAGAGACAUCACUGGGCAUGAAUAACCUCAUGUAUUUUCUGCUAAGGCAAAAGUUACUGCACGCACUGUAUUUUCCAACAGGAAUAAUAAAGACAGAACUCAAACUGGCUGCAUACUUGGAGAUGCACAACACAGAAAAGGGAGCGUCAGAUUGACCCAUGUACCCGGUUGUCUUCAUUCUGAUACGCCUGCACACACAUUUAACGCCGUAGUUUCAAGUGGCCAAAUGAAAUGCAGUGAAGUCUUUGUAUGAUGCUGCUUCUUUCCAUCAUGUUACAUCAUCAUGACUAUGGCAGUCUUUGAAGAUGCAAUACCCAAGCUCACUGCCCUCCUUGCCCAGGAGUGGUUUUGGUUUCAUCACGCAGUCGCAUGCAUUCUUGUGCACUCAUAGAUAUGUCAUUGUGUGUUCAAGUGGUAAGAGUCCACCCUACAGGAUGGAGAAGAGGCUUUCUGAUAAGACUGGAGUUCUGUAUGCCUUGUGCUUGAUCUGGAGGUUGUUGGCUAUGCUCAUUCUCACCUUUUGCUGCUCUUUAGUCACUGCAGAAGAUUAUCCAGACACAGGAGUGCAGCUCAGCAAUCUUCCUGCAACAGCAUAUUCACAAAGACUUGGCACAGCUGACAAAAAAUUUGGGAAAGAGUGUGGAUGAGACUAUCAACAUCCUUCAUCUUGUCCUAGGCAGCCUCCUCAAGGAUCCCCAUCAGCACCCAGGACAGUGGCCAGUUCUCUUUGAUGGGACGCUUUCAACAAAGGAGAUAAGAAGCAAAUGGGAAGAAAUUGUUGCAAGCACAGUUAUUAUUCCUGAUUUGAAGGUGAUAAAUUUGUUGUUUAAAAAAAAAAAAAGAAAAAGAAAAAGAAAAGAAUGCAGUAGCUGAGCAAUUCAAAAAGCCACUUCUUUGGAAAUCUGACCUGCUGUGAUACCUGUGCUGCCCUUUCCACUCAGCUAUUCCUGAAUCCGAGCUGUUUAUGGUACGGCUGUAGGAGCUCUGUGAAGUGACCAUCCUGAAGCUGAGGCACUUCAGAUCUGUGGAUGAAUUCAGACCCACAUGGAGGCAAUGGAUUUAUGCAGCCCCAACAACCCACAUGUAGAGAUGAUGACUUCCCUUCCUCUGCCUCUGCGAAAAUGCCUGUGAUGGAAACAGUUCUAUUAGCACAUGACUGCUCUGCUGACCACACAAGCAUCACUGUUAAGAGUAUGCAGCUAGUUGGAAGACACCCUGCAUGCUUCUGGCAUAUAUAACUCUUCUGCAUCUUACGCAGGCUGUUUUGGGAACACUGCUGAAAUAGUUGCUACUCUUGAGUGCUAAACACAAGCAGCCACUCUAAUGACCGUGCUAAGCUUUCUACACACACCGCUUGUCCCUAACAACUUGAUUCUGGGUUCCUUAGCCCAUGUAAUCCUCCGUGGCAUUUGUAGGUUGCUGUACACCAGGUACUAAUCUUACUCUUACUCUUUGAUUUCCAGCCUGAAGGAAUUUUUCAUUCCCUUCCUUGAUGCAAAAAGACCCCGAGUUGGCUACAGAGCUGCAGGUUGCAUGCCCAGGUGAGGCUCUCCUUUCUCAUGCUGUUGCUACCUGGAAAGCGGCUGCUGUCUUCAGGAGAGCACAGAGAGAGCUAGGACUGCUGGCAGCACAGUCUGCCCAUGACCACCACUGUGACCUUCCUCCGGGUGCACAGACACUGGUCGUGCCUCAAACAUGCAGUUCCAGUGAGAUCCUGGAUGGACAGGGACCGGUGAUUUCUUCCAGAUUCUCAUUACAACUGAUGAUUGUGCGUGGACCUCUGAGUGUGGUUUUACCUUAAUCUAACUGAGGGUCAGUGGAAAUCACAGUCCAUGUGAUUGCUGCACCACUACAGACAUUAGCAGCAAUGGAUCAUCAGCAGCAGUUUAAGACCACCCAGCUCUAAUGAAAUUACCCACAUUUUGCCUACUGAAUUUGGGUUGCAGAUACUAUGCAACUCGAGCACAAAUUAAUUUAAUUAUACUCAUGUUGCAUACACAUUUUACUUCCACCACUGUACAAUCCAUUGCUGGAAUGCAAACACAUGAAUACUGAUAUACUGCAAAGUUGCACAACUUUGGGUGCCGGGUGGUCUCCCACAAAGCCAACACACCCCAGGAUUUUUUGUGAAGCUUUUUUAUACAUAUUUUUAUCACAUGCCUACUGCUCUUAUACAGCCCCCUGCCUACAAUGGGUGAGUUAAAGACAGGGCUCAUCUCCCUACCUGCAGGCUAUGUGAGCCAUGCUAACCAACUACACGUUUUUUUUCAA